rnacentral:tRNA from 1 species
GCCUGGAUGGCUCAGUUGGUUGGGCGUCUGACUUUGGCUCAGGUCACGGUCUCCCGGUUUGUAGGUUUGAGCCCUGUGCCGGGCU